GAUGAACGCUGGCGGCGUGCCUAAUACAUGCAAGUCGAGCGAACGGACGAGAAGCUUGCUUCUCUGAUGUUAGCGGCGGACGGGUGAGUAACACGUGGAUAACCUACCUAUAAGACUGGGAUAACUUCGGGAAACCGGAGCUAAUACCGGAUGAUAUUUUGAACCGCAUGGUUCAAAAGUGAAAGACGGUCUUGCUGUCACUUAUAGAUGGAUCCGCGCUGCAUUAGCUAGUUGGUAAGGUAACGGCUUACCAGGGCAACGAUGCAUAGCCGACCUGAGAGGGUGAUCGGCCACACUGUAACUGAGACACGGUCCAGACUCCUACGGGAGGCAGCAGUAGGGAAUCUUCCGCAAUGGGCGAAAGCCUGACGUAGCAACGCCGCGUGAGUGAUGAAGGUCUUCGGAUCGUAAAACUCUGUUAUUAGGGAAGAACAUAUGUGUAAGUAACUGUGCACAUCUUGACGGUACCUAAUCAGAAAGCCACGGCUAACUACGUG
rnacentral:rRNA from 1 species